UCCAUCUGCAUUUUGCAUUAACCCAUCUGCCCCAGUGCGCAAGCCAGAGGGUCGCAGGGGGCUGGGGAUGCGGAGGCGGGGUGUGCCAGCCAUCUGCACCCGCGCGCGUCCCCAGCUGCACACCUGGGGCCGGGGCCGCGCGCGUCGGCCCCACGCGGAGCGCGCCCCACGCGGAGAGCGGCGCGGCGCGCAGGACCCGAGGGCGGGGCGGGAGCAGCUCGGGUUCGCGCUCUCCCUCGCGGCGGAGCGGACAGCUUGCAGUUGGGGGGCCGACGGUACCUUUUGGAUAGGUCCAUGAGGACCCCGGAGAAGAGCUUCUCCCCGAGGCGGAACGACACGACGAGCGCGUCCUCGAUGAUGUGGUCCAGCGUGACCCGCACCUCCGAGCCGGGGAUGAGGUGCGACACCGCCGAGUCCCCGCCCGCCGGCGGCACGAGCGCCGGAGCUGGUGGCGGCCGCGGCGCGUCCUCGGGCUGCUCGGGGGCGGCCGGAGGCUGCUCGGGCGGCGAGACCGGGACAGCCGCGGGCUCGGGCGGCUUCGCCUCCUCAGCCUCGGAGCUAUCGGCCAGCUCCCCCGGCGGCGGCGGCGGCGGCGGUGGCGGCAGCGGCUGCUCGUCGGCCUGAGGGGCGGACUGGCGCCCGUCGGCCUCGCCGUCCGGCACCGCCGCCUCCGUGGCCGUGACCGGGAGGGGGGUGCCGGCUUCGCUGCCGGGAAUGGGCUCUAGCUCCGGCUCGGCCUCGCCGGCGCCCCCUUCCCCGGGGGACGCCGCGGUCGCCGCCGCCUCAGCAGCCACGGCCGCCAUUUUCUCGCUGGUUUCUCCCUCCUCCUACUCGGGCUGCGGCGGCGGCGGCGGCAGCGCGGCUGGGAUCCCGAGGCCUUCCCCUCCCUCCCGCUAACACUCUCGUCCCGCCCUUUCCCUGAUGCUCGUGAUUGGCACCGCGCCAUUGGCUCCGCCUUCCACCCCCUUCCGCACUUCUGUCAACCCAUUGGUCAGAAGGAGCCGUCUGUCGCGGGCUGAGUCCCGCCCCCUCCCUCAGAGUAGGAACUUCCCAUUGGUCAGGUCAAGGCCUGGGAUUUUGGUUUGUGAGAAGAAGAAAGAAGAAGAAGAAGAAGAAGGAGAAGGAGAAGGAGAAGGAGAAGGAGAAAAAGAAGAAGGAGAAGAAGAAGAAGAAGAAGAAAAAUUCAGAUCUUUUCUAUAUCAAAAACAUUUUCUACCAAAUGAGCUGCAUGCUUUAGGUUACACAUCUUACUGAGGACAGAAAACAAACAAAUGCCUUUUUUUCUUUUUCCUUGCUGUGAACAGGCCUGCUGUUUUGAACACUGUCACAAAUGCUUGCUGGAUUUUGUUUGGGGCAAUAAUAUGUUUAGUUAAUGAGCUAACCUCACUAAGAAGCCCUGCAGUCUAAAAUUGUCAUAAAAAUUAAUCUAUCUGUGUUAUCUCCUAUAUUGACAAUAAGAAUCCUUGAUACUGCCUCGGAGGGAGGGAGGGACGGGAGGGAGGAACACACACACACACAGAGAAACACGCAGAGAGACAGAGACAGAGAGAGAGGUCAGCUGGGGUUGAGCAUGGUAGCACAUGCAUGCCUAUCAUACCAGAGCUAGAAGCCAUGAGAUCAGGAACUCAAAGUCUCAAUGUCCUCUCUGACUUCACACAUGGGUUCAAGGCCAGCAUGUCAAACAUGAGACCCUGUUUCACACACACACACACACACACACACACGAACGAAAGACAAGAAAAGAAAAGAAAAAAGAAAAAAGAGAGAAAAGGAAAGGAGAGAGAAACCAGCCAGGCCUAGAGACACACACAACACUCAGAAGAUAGAGUCAGGAGCAUCUGAAGUUCAGAGUUCAAGGCCAGACUAAUGCAUAAGGCCAUGUCUAAGUAAGACUCGAAGAUGUCAGAUGGAUGGAGCAAGGCCUCAUGGUUCCCACCCAUAAUUCCAGUACUCAGGAGACUAUUGCAGAAGGGUUUUGACAGGUUUGGAUUCUAGGCUAAGCUAGGGUACCAGCUGGUCCUGACUGCCACAGAAUUUAGUUUCAAGCUCUGUGGGGUGCUAGAGUAUUGACCAAGUCUCAAGAAUGUUUAAACUUAAAGGCUGAACCUGAGCCGGGCGUGGUGGCGCACACCUUUAAUCCCAGCACUCGGGAGGCAGAGGCAGGCGGAUUUCUGAGUUCGAGGCCGGCCUGGUCUACAAAGUGAGUGCCAGGACAGCCAGGGCUACACAGAGAAACCCUGUCUCGAAAAACCAACAAAAAAAAAAAAAAAAAAAAGAAAAGAAAAGGCUGAACCCUGAACCUGUGUCCGCUUCCAGCCAGCCUCUUUGGCAGCACAAAAUCUCCAUAAUCUCCAUGAUAAAUCAUCUUACCUGUUUCUUCAGCUAUAAGCUACUUUUAAAGCACUGACUUUUUAGAAGAUCCAUUUUUAAUUAUGUUUAGGCAUGUGUGUUUAUAUGUGGGUAUGCACACACGAGUGUACGUGCCAUUAGAGGUCAGAGGCAUUAGAUCCUGUGGAGCUGAAGUUACAAAUGGUCCUGACCCGGGUGCUAGGAACCAAAUUCAAGUCCUAUGGAAGAGCAGCAAGUACUCUUAACUACUGAGUCAUAUUUCUUCAUUCCCUAUAUAUUUUGUUUAGUUUCAUAUAAUAACUACCUAUCAAGAAAGUGUGUGUGUGUGUGUGUGUGUGUGUGUGUGUGUGUGUGUGUGUGCAAUGAGUAUGCAGAAAUCAGAAGAGAAUAAGAGUGUUUGAGCCUGCAGAGACCAGGAGAGAGCAUUGGAGCCUUCAGAGGUCAGAGGAGGACAUUGAAGCCUGCAGAGACCGGAGGAUGGCAUUGGAGCCUUCAGAGAUGAGAGGAGGACAUCAGAUUCCCUGGUACUGAUGUUUACAGUUGGUUGUGUGAGCUGCCAUAGGGAUGCUGGGGACUGGGGAACUGAUCCCAGACAUUCUUCAAAAGCAUCAAGUGCUCAUGAACACCAAUCCAGCUCUCCAACCCUAGGAUUUGAUUUGGAGUCUUUUGUUUGUUUGUAUACCUUAGGGUGUAUCUUGAAACUUUUGGUGAUCUUCUUACCUUUGCCUCCUACAUACUGGGAUCACAGGACCGUCCUACCGUGCCUGGCUGCGUAAUGCUAGGUGUAUAACAUAGACCUCCAAUCAUAUUAAGGCUUAUUUUAAGAAUACUAAGUUAUUUAUAACUAGGUUCAGAAACUCAACCUGAUUGGUGUAUCUUGGAUUAAUCAUACAUGGUUGCUGCGGGACUCUGCCUCCACCCCAAUAAUGAAACCUGCAAAAGACUUCUGAAAACAAAAGCCCUAGCAUGUUCAUUCACAGAACGGGAAAAUGCUUAAAUAUGACUUAGUGCUUAUUUUAUUUUCUCUGGGCAUGCUUACUCUGGAAAUUGAGGAAUAGGGAAAAGACAAUGUGGGGGGCAGAGACCAGGAUAAAAGGAAUGGCUUUAAAGACUCAUGGGGACAUAUGACACGGGAGUGCAGUGAGGUGUUUCUUGGCUUCUGGGACGACUUCUCUCUGGAAGCCUGUUCUAGAAUUAGCUCACCUGCUCCCAGUUGAACUCAGUAAAGCUCAGUGCCUGGCAAAUUUGUCAAGCACUGGCUCUCUUUGUGCCUCAGGGAUUCUCAGUGUACUUUGGAAUCCAAGAAUCUGCUAAAGCUGCCUGCACACAUGGUAAGAACCCAUAUGGAUAAGGUAGACACAACAAAGCCGGGCAUGGCACAUGACACUGUGGUCCCAGGGAGGCCAAGGAACUAACAGGAAGGGGCCAUUCCUAAGCCUAGUCUCUAUCUUGGCCUGAAUACUGGUCACACAGGUUGUGUUUGGCUUUUUAUAACGCCAGCUUUGCUCUGUGUACCUUUCUGUAAGUAAAUUGUAUUGACU